AUUGAACGCUGGCGGAAUGCUUUACACAUGCAAGUCGAACGGCAGCACGGGGGCAACCCUGGUGGCGAGUGGCGAACGGGUGAGUAAUACAUCGGAACGUGCCCGGUCGUGGGGGAUAACGUAGCGAAAGUUACGCUAAUACCGCAUACGAUCUGAGGAUGAAAGCGGGGGACCUUCGGGCCUCGCGCGAUCGGAGCGGCCGAUGUCAGAUUAGGUAGUUGGUGGGGUAAAGGCCUACCAAGCCGACGAUCUGUAGCUGGUCUGAGAGGACGACCAGCCACACUGGUACUGAGACACGGCCCAGACUCCUACGGGAGGCAGCAGUGGGGAAUUUUGGACAAUGGGCGCAAGCCUGAUCCUGCCAUUCCGCGUGCAGGACGAAGGCCUUCGGGUUGUAAACUGCUUUUGUAUGGAACGAAAAGGCUCUGGCUAAUACCUGGGGCUCAUGACGGUACCGUAAGAAUAAGCACCGGCUAACUACGUG
rnacentral:rRNA from 1 species